UCGGGAACUCCGCCUGUAGCUCCUCUGGGGCCUAAUGCCGGUCCCAAGCCCGGAUAAAGGAGGAGGGUUGG
rnacentral:ribozyme from 2 species